rnacentral:rRNA from 1 species
CGAACGCUGGCGGCCUGCCUAACACAUGCAAGUCGAACGAGACCUUCGGGUCUAGUGGCGCACGGGUGCGUAACGCGUGGGAACCUGCCCUUAGGUUCGGAAUAACUCCCCGAAAGGGGUGCUAAUACCGGAUAAUGUCUUCGGACCAAAGAUUUAUCGCCUUUGGAUGGGCCCGCGUUGGAUUAGCUAGUUGGUAGGGUAAAAGCCUACCAAGGCGACGAUCCAUAGCUGGUCUGAGAGGAUGAUCAGCCACACUGGGACUGAGACACGGCCCAGACUCCUACGGGAGGCAGCAGUGGGGAAUAUUGGACAAUGGGCGAAAGCCUGAUCCAGCAAUGCCGCGUGAGUGAUGAAGGCCUUAGGGUUGUAAAGCUCUUUUACCCGGGAUGAUAAUGACAGUACCGGGAGAAUAAGCGCCGGCUAACUCCGUG